rnacentral:rRNA from 1 species
AACGCGAAGAACCUUACCUGGCCUUGACAUCUAUCGUGAAAGGUGAUGAAAGUCAUCGACGGCCCGAAAGGGUGCUGGGGAUAGACAGGUGCUGCAUGGUUGUCGUCAGCUCGUGUCGUGAGAUGUUGGCUUAAGUGCCGCAACGAGCGCAACCCCUGUGUUUAGUUACUCCGCAAGGAGGUCUCUAAACAGACUGCCUCGCUUCAACGAGGAGGAAGGUGGGGAUGACGUCAAGUCAGUAUGGCCCUUACGGCCAGGGCUGCACACGUACUACAAUGCCCGGUACAAAGGGAAGCAAGAGCGUAAGCUGGAGCAAAUCCCCUAAAACCGGGCCCAGUUCAGAUUGUCGUCUGCAACUCGACGGCAUGAAGCUGGAAUCGCUAGUAAUGGCGCAUCAGCUACGGCGCCGUGAAUACGUUCCCGGGCCUUGUACACACCGCUAGUC